rnacentral:rRNA from 1 species
AUGUGUAGGCUUGAAAGGCACCAGGAACGAUUCUACAGCAAGGGGCCAUGGUCUGUUAACCAUUUUUUCCUAUCACACCUCACCAUCUAUAGAAGAGGGCAAUUUUCCUGGAUGAGGAGAGAGCUAAGCGUGCCAGUAGCCAUUGGUCAUGACCCGUACCGUGGUAGCAUGACAUCCCUGCAGAGUCGGAAUCAACAGCGCACGAGAGAGGGCUCGUGUCUCAAGAUGAACAACUCGCUGUCCAUGAAGGUGAAGGUCGCGGGAUGGGGCGGCAUGGUGAGCCAUUUCCUGUCCUUGGCCUACAACUGGAGGCCUUCCAGCUCAUGA